GGCAACGUGGCGGAGUGGUUAACGCGAUUGACUCGAAGCGGUUUAAAAGACCCUGGUAAUCAAUUUCCUUCGGGAGCGCAUGUUCGAAUCAUGCCGUUGUCG
rfam:Fusarium oxysporum f. sp. cubense race 1 unplaced genomic scaffold scaffold539, whole genome shotgun sequence.